CCCCUAGAUGUUCUGGGCCGCACGCGCGCUACACUGAUCAGUGCAACAAGCAUCCGUCCUUGGCCGACAGGCCCGGGCAAUCUUUGAACGCUGAUCGUGAUGGGGAUAGACUUUUGCAAUUUUUGGUCUUCAACGAGGAAUUCCUAGUAAACGCAAGUCAUCAACUUGCAUUGAUUACGUCCCUGCCCUUUGUACACACCGCCCGUCGCACCUACCGAUUGAAUGGUCCGGUGAAGCCUCCGGAUUGGCGUGCACCCUCGGGUGCUGCCGAGAAGUUGGCUAAACCUUACCAUUUAGAGGAAGGUGAAGUCGUAACA
rnacentral:rRNA from 1 species